rnacentral:lncRNA from 1 species
UUCUCAGGACUCUUCAAAGGACUAAAAGUUAAAGGCGACAAUGGAUUCACUCGACGAGUCUUAGUCCUGCGCCCUGGUGAAUGGCAGACCCUGCUCCCUGCGAGGGGAUCACGAGGAACUCUCACCACCAUCCCUGCCCUGGUGGAGCCCGCCUGCGGACACAGGAUCCGAAGAUGGCAGCGGAAGCUCUGCAGCGGCCCCUAAAGCGAUUGGGCAGUGUGGGCACAGGCUCCCUCACGGGGUGAAGGCGGCGCAAAGAACUGGAAGAGCCAUCCUGGGAGCCCACCGGGCAUUCAGCUUCCCUUGGGCCCCCAGGCGGCUCGGGCCCGGG